AAGGAAGAUAAGAUUUAUUUUAAUUUGUGGUGUGAGAGGGCUUAGUCCAUCAUGGAGCCGAAGGUAUGGCGGCAGGAGCAUAUGUCCUCUUGCUCACACUGUGAUACACCACACAGUGGUGAGCUUUUGCUGGAAGUGGGUCCUGGGCCAGAAGCAGAGCCUCACUGUAACUCUCCAAGCCCGCCCUGUGACCCUAGGUCUAACAGCUAGGGCUCACAUCGGUAGAUUCCACAGCCUCGCAAAAUAGAGAUACCAGCUAGAGACUAACUGGUCAGACACAGAAUCCUCUUAGAGACAUUUCACACUCAAAAAUAUAACAGGCCGUGUCUGGUGUGGUGUGGUGUGGUCAGCACUCAGAAUGUGAGUGAACCAACCAGCAGUGAGUACACUGGUGCACUGUGGGUGAUUCGACCUGGGGCAUGUAGCAGGAGGGUCCAUGAAGUGCUACCUGCUCAGGGCUGAAACCCCAGGAAGGCACCUGUGAUGUUGGACCUGCCUGAGUUCACUGUUCUGAAGAUGAACCUUUUAAACACACACAGUCAGCAGAAUGUUCCUGAAAUGAUGUCCCAUUUUGUCUCUGUUUCAAGAAGCUGAAGCUGAAGCUGGAGUUGGUCUCAAGAACAGCUGCGAUGAUUCCAUCGUUGAUCUGAGGCACCUGCUCUGUCCCGUUUUCAUCUGACUGGAUCCUUUCUGCCAUUUGUCCCUGGAAGUGCUGCUCCCCAGGCCUGUUACACUGAACACGACACUCCGCCUCCUUCUAGCAGCAGCUGGAUCCCAACUGGACCUUCUCAUCACCACUUGCGUCCUCAAUAAGUGGUCUUCUGUUUUUUUUCCCUUUUUCUUUUUGGGUCAUCUAUAGAGAUUUGAAAUAAACACAGUAUAUUUGAAAAG